rnacentral:rRNA from 1 species
AUACGGAGGGGGCUAGCGUUGUUCGGAAUUACUUGGCGUAAAGCGUACGUAGGCGGACUGAUCAGUUGGGGGUGAAAUCCCAUGGCUUAACCCUGGAACUGCCUUCAAUACUGUCAGUCUUGAGAUUGGAAGAGGUGAGUGGAAUUCCUAGUGUAGAGGUGAAAUUCAUAGAUAUUAGGAGGAACACCAGUGGCGAAGGCGGCUCACUGGUCCAAUACUGACGCUGAGGUACGAAAGCGUGGGGAGCAAACAGGAUUAGAAACCCUGGUAGUCC